UACAGAGGUCCCAAGCGUUGUUCGGAUUCACUGGGCGUAAAGGGUGCGUAGGCGGUCGGGUAAGUCUGAUGUGAAAUCUCACAGCUUAACUGUGAAACUGCAUUGGAUACUAUUCGGCUUGAGAGUUGGAGGGGGGGACUGGAAUUCUUGGUGUAGCAGUGAAAUUCGUAGAUAUCAAGCGGAACACCGGUGGCGAAGGCGGCCUUCUGGACAGUGACUGACGCUGAGACGCGAAAGCGUGGGGAGCGAACAGGG
rnacentral:rRNA from 1 species